rnacentral:tRNA from 1 species
GGGGGCGUAGCUCAGUUGGUUAGAGCGUCUGCCUGUCACGCAGAAGGUCACGGGUUCGAACCCCGCCGUCCCCGCCA